GAUGAACGCUGGCGGCGUGCCUAAUACAUGCAAGUCGAGCGAACAGACGAGGAGCUUGCUCCUUCGACGUUAGCGGCGGACGGGUGAGUAACACGUAGGUAACCUACCUAUAAGACUGGGAUAACUUCGGGAAACCGGAGCUAAUACCGGAUAACAUUUCGAACCGCAUGGUUCGAUAGUGAAAGAUGGCUUUGCUAUCACUUAUAGAUGGACCUGCGCCGUAUUAGCUAGUUGGUAAGGUAACGGCUUACCAAGGCAACGAUACGUAGCCGACCUGAGAGGGUGAUCGGCCACACUGGAACUGAGACACGGUCCAGACUCCUACGGGAGGCAGCAGUAGGGAAUCUUCCGCAAUGGGCGAAAGCCUGACGGAGCAACGCCGCGUGAGUGAUGAAGGUCUUCGGAUCGUAAAACUCUGUUAUUAGGGAAGAACAAACGUGUAAGUAACUGUGCACGUCUUGACGGUACCUAAUCAGAAAGCCACGGCUAACUACGUG
rnacentral:rRNA from 1 species